AUUCUACCAUCCGUUCCUUGCAUUGAUUACAAGCACAGGGUAAGUAAUGCUGUUUAGGUCCAUUUUCAAUUCAAACCUGUAGACCAUAUGAACAGGUAAUAUGACCAGAAACAGAUGUUGAAGAAUGAAAAGGCAGCCAAGAACACUAUACGGGUCACAUAAUCAAUCUGUUGGCUCAAGUACGUGUGUACAUCCGGGUCAUUUAUGUCAGAGUCAGUGUCAAUGACGUCAGAAGUUGCAUCUGUGACGUCAGUCACCAUGCUACCGUCUGCCAUGCUACUGGUAUCCUCCGAUGAUUUGCCGGUGGUGUUCAGGGUGUCGUAUCCAGAGGUUUGGCUAUCUACCUCGUCAUGCAGGACGCCCUUAGAGAUCAUCACCAGGAGUGGGAUGAUCCCGAGAGUGAUGCGGCCGGAGAUGGCUUUCUGGUGCAGCGGCAGCCAUGUCUGCAUGAGAGACGCCACCACGAGGAUGAAAGACGGGAUGAAAGUAGUGGAGAUGUAGAUCCACAGGCGCCUGGUCAUACCGAGCUUGACUGAUACCGUGGUGUAACUGUUGGUGUCUGAAAACAAAUCAAUCACACACGGUGUCAACACAAUUCACAUGAUUAAAAUCAUAUUGAAACAGUA